rnacentral:lncRNA from 1 species
CGGAGUCUCACUCUGUUGCCCAGGCUGGAGUGCAGUGGCACAAUCUCGGCUCACUGCAACCUCUACCUCCUGGAUUCAAGCAGUUUUCCUGCCUCAGCCUCCAGAGUAACAGGGAUUACAGGCAUACUCCACCUUGCCCUGCUGAUUUUGUAUUUUUAGUAGAGACAGAGUUUCACCAUGUUGGCCAGGCUGGUCUUGAACUCCUGACCUCAAGUGAUCCACUGCCUCAGCCUCCCAAAGUGCUGGGAUUAUAGGCGUGAGCCACUGCGCCUGGCCAAAUGCUCUACUUUUUAAUCAAUGUUUUCCAAAAUAGGGAUUUUUGCUAUGUGCUUUAGAAAUUAGAGAACAAAUGGUGAUAAUAUAUGCUAAACUUAAAAUUAGUAUGCCUCCUUUUAUAGACAACAAGAACUUUGUCACUUCCCAGUUUGUCUUGUCAUUCAGGAGGCUCAGAGCUACGAUUUGUGCCCACUCGUGCUGCCUAUUCUUAACUUUGAUUUCCUGAAGCAGCGAUUUCAUCUCCGUUUCCCCUCAUCACCUGUUCUUUUAACUGUUUAAAAACAGCAUUACAUUUUGUUGCAAGUGGCCUCAAAUUCUUUUUGGUAGAAGGGAAAUUGUAAUUCGUGAGAAGAAAAAAAUUUUCCUAACUAUUCUCAGGUGUGUUUAAGGGCUGCAUUCCAUGAUGCUAUCAGUGCCUUCUUUCAGCUCACAGGAUAUUGGCCAUGUUAAUGAGUCUGAUGUUGCUAGUAUCACAGGCACCGGAAAAUAUGCACAUUAUGCUGGAGCAUUAGAAUGCAACAGAAAGAGCCCUGGGCUUGGAGUAUGCAGAACUGGUUCUUGUUACAACUCCUCUUACUAGUGGGCUGCUAUGGACCUAAAGUGGAGGGCUUUGAAAUUUCCUGCUUAAUUGGGCUGCAUGUCAUUGCCGUCCUUAGAAGUUGCUCCGGGAUGCAGCUCUGGAAGAAAACACAUUGAAUUCAUGAUCAUGGUUAACCUUUGGAGAGAGAGAGGAGACCAGGAUGAAGGAG